GGUCCUUUAAGGUCUUGAACAUCGGUUUCCUGACUUGAGCGGGGCCCAUGCCCCUGCCGAGGAGGCUCAGCCUGGAAGCAGCUAGCCCAUUUCCUGUCUCCCCCACCACGACCCAGCAAGGAUCUCUACUUGACUUUCCUCCUUCAGGCAACCACCUAGAAAAUCGUUGAGUUUGUUCAUGUCACAAGUGAAAGUGUUUUUCUCAUGCAUUCAUCGUUGGCACGUAGUCCUUUGGCGAUAUUAAAAUCUACCAACAAAUGGGAAAAGUUAACAUUUGCACCAUCUUGCCGUAUUCAAAAACCUUGUGCUUAAGUGUUUUGAAAAGACAGGAUUUCACCAUAUUGGCCAGGCUGGUCUCGAACUCCUGACUUCGUGGUCUGCCCACCUCGGCUUCCCAAAGUGCUGAGGUUACAGGCGUGAGCCACCGUGCCCGGCCGCGUUUCUUGCUCUUUAAGCUCUGCUAGCUUGGCCUCUGUCACUAAAGGUGCAGCUUCAAGCUUAGGACCACCCACCAUGCCCAUCCAGGUGCUGAAGGGCCUGACCAUCACUCAUUAAGAACAGAGGAGGCUGCCUGUUACUCCUGGUGACGCAUCCCUCCAGACUCUCUGCUGUUUCCUGCCUAGGCGUGGCUGCAGCCAUGGCUAGGAAAGUGCUGCCACCCACCCACCUGGGCCGGAGCUGGUUCUGCUCCUGCUGCAGGGACACUGAGCUGGCUAUCUCGGCGCUUCGGGCAAGAACCGCAACAGGCUCUCCUGGGUCCUGCAGGUUUACAGCCGGGCCCCUGCCUUGUGCCUCAGCUCUUGAGAGCUGCUGCUGCCGGGUGACCUGAUCCAACCUGAUAAGGUGCCAUCUUCAGCUACCACUGCAAGGCCCUGAGGGCAACAGCAGCAUGGCACUGCCCACCCAGCUGCUGAUGGCCUGGUGCCAGCUGGGAGUCCUCCCGGCACUUCGAGGCCACUGAGCCACUCUUCCAGCCCGGCCCACCAUGGACAGGGGUAUCCAGCUUCCUCCUCAACCUCGUCCUCUGCCCCUGAGCCAGUGACACCCAAGGACAUGCCUGUUACCCAGGUCCUGUACCAGCACUAGCUGGUCAAGGGCAUGACAGUGCUGGAGGCCGUCUUGGAGAUCCAGGCCAUCACUGACAGCAGGCUGCUCUCCAUGGUGCCAGGGCCUGCCAGGCCACCAGGCUUAUGCUGGGACCCAACCCAGUGCACAAGGACUUGGCUGCUGAGCCACACACCCAGGAGAAGGUGGAUAAGUGGGCUACCAAGGGCUUCCUGCAGGCUAGGGGAGGAGCCACCCCCGCUUCCCUGUUGUGACCAGGCCUAUGGGGAGGAGCUGUCCAUAUGCCACCAUGAGACCUGGGCCUGGCUUUCAAGGACAGACACCGCCUGGCCUGGUGCUCCAGAGGUGAAGCAGGCCAGAAUCCUGGGGGAGCUGCUCCUGGUUUGAGCUGCAGUCAGGAAGUGCGGGACACGGUAGGGGAGGCAAAAAGCCUCGGGCACUACCCUCCCUGUGGAGCUGUUCAGUGUCCGUCGAGCUAGCCACACCCUGACACCAUGUUCAAGGGUACCGGAAGAGAAGGGUGUCUGCCCCCAACCUCCCCCGUGGGUGUCACUGGCCAGAUGUCAUGAGGGAAGCAGGCCUUGUGAGUGGACACUGACCAUGAGUCCCUGGGGGGAGUGAUCCCCCAGGCAUCGUGUGCCAUGUUGCAUUUCUGCCCAGGCAGCAGGGUGGGUGGGUACCAUGGGUGCCCACCCACCCACCACAUGGGGCCCCAAAGCACUGCAGGGCAACCCCACACCCUUGACAUAAAAGCAUCUUGAAGCUUUUA
rnacentral:sRNA from 1 species